UACGAAGGGGGCUAGCGUUGCUCGGAAUGACUGGGCGUAAAGGGCGCGUAGGCGGCUUGGCAAGUGGAUGGUGAAAUCCCUCGGCUUAACCGAGGAACUGCCGUCCAAACUGCUUCGCUUGAGACCGGGAGAGGUGAGUGGAAUUCCCAGUGUAGCGGUGAAAUGCGUAGAUAUUGGGAGGAACACCAGUGGCGAAGGCGGCUCACUGGACCGGUACUGACGCUGAUGCGCGAAAGCGUGGGGAGCAAACAGG
rnacentral:rRNA from 1 species